CAAAGUCACAGCUCACUGCAGCCUUGACUUCCCGGGCUCAAACGAUCCUCCCACGUUGCAAAGGAGUUUGGCUUCCAAAAUAAUGGCUUCUCGGUUUACAUCAAUAGAAACAAGACCGGAGAGAUAACAGCCUCCUCCAACAAAUCCCUCAACUUGCUAAAAAUCAAGCAUGGCGAUUUGUUGUUCCUGUUUCCCUCGAGCCUUGCUGGGCCCUCAUCUGAAAUGGAGACGUCAGUUCCACCGGGCUUCAAAGUCUUUGGCGCUCCCAACGUGGUGGAGGAUGAGAUUGAUCAGUACCUCAGCAAACAGGACGGGAAGAUUUACAGAAGCCGAGACCCACAGCUAUGCCGCCACGGCCCUUUGGGGAAAUGCGUGCACUGCGUCCCUCUAGAGGGGGAAGUUUGUUGCCCUGGAGAACAUCAGCUGCAAGAUUAAGUCAGGGUGCGAGGGGCACCUCCCGUGGCCGAAUGGCAUCUGUACUAAGUGCCAGCCGAGCGCCAUCACGCUGAACAGACAGAAGUACAGGCAUGUGGACAAUAUCAUGUUUGAGAAUCACACCGUCGCUGACCGCUUUCUUGACUUCUGGAGAAAGACAGGGAACCAGCAUUUUGGGUACUUAUACGGACGGUACACGGAGCACAAAGACAUUCCCCUUGGCAUCAGGGCUGAAGUG
rnacentral:lncRNA from 1 species